rnacentral:misc_RNA from 1 species
AACGCACAUUGCGCCCUCUGGUAUUCCGGGGGGCAUGCCUGUUCGAGCGUCAUUACAACCCUCAAGCUCUGCUUGGUAUUAGGCCUCACCCGCGAGGGUGGGCCUUAAAAUCAGUGGCGGUGCCAUCUGGCUUCAAGCGUAGUAAUUCUUCUCGCUUUGGAGAACUGGAUGCGUGCCUGCCAGCAACCCCAAUUUUUAAUCAAAGGUUGACCUCGGAUCAGGUAGGGAUACCCGCUGAACUUAA